rnacentral:rRNA from 1 species
AACGAACGUUGGCGGCGUGGAUGAGGCAUGCAAGUCGAACGCGAAAGCCGCAAGGUGAGUAGAGUGGCGGACGGGCGAGUAACACGUAAUCAAGCUACCUGCGAGACGGGAAUAACCUCGGGAAACCGAGGCUAAGACCCGAUGGUCUUCAUGGACCGCAUGGUCUGGGAAGUAAAUGGGCGGGAUCCUUCUGGAUCGCCUGCUCGCGGAGGUGAUUGCGGCCCAUCAGCUAGUUGGUAGGGUAAUGGCCUACCAAGGACAACGACGGGUAGCCGGCCUUAGAGGGUGGUCGGCCGCACUGGGACUGAGACACUGCCCACGACUCCUACGGGAGGCUGCAGUCGAGAAUCUUCCGCAAUGGGCGCAAGCCUGACGGAGCGACGCCGCGUGGAGGACGAAGG